GUCCAGGGUGUGGCUCAGUGGUAGAGCACAUGCCUUGCAUGUAUGAGAUCCUGGGUUCAAUCCCCAGAGCAGGACA